GUGCGCUCACACGCACAAAUGCUUUGACUUACCAGAACUACGUAAACAGCCAUGCUAUUGCAUUUUAUUUUCAGAUUCAAAAUAGCUCUUUACCAGCACUUAGAGUUCUUCUUCCGACACACAAUAUGAGACCACUACGCUUCACUAGGUCAGUCUCACAGGCACUCAUUCCAGUUCCCCCAUACAAAAACAACUACGGUCAGAAAUCCUUUUUCUAUAUUUACACCAAAAUUUGGAAUGACAUUCCCCAUCACAUUCGAACAUUAUCAUCCAUCACAUAUUUCAAAAAGUCAUAUAAACUGUUUCUUCUAGAUAGUCAUACUUGCACACACUGAUUGUUCAUGUAUUGUUUUUAGUCUUGUUUUUCCGUAUUUAAUGUUUUAUUUGUUUGUAUCUGUCUAGUCAGUAAUAAUGUCCUGUAUAAAUGUGCCGAAAUUGUGUUCAUUGUUCUAUGUUGCUGCAGAACAGGAACCUGCUGUAAACCACUUUUUAAACUGAGUUAGGCCCAUUUAUUGUAACUUAAUUGUUGCUUUUAAAUUUUCCUGUAUAAUAAAUGAAAUGAAAUGAAGACUUGGAUGGGCAAAUCUGGAA